GUGAGCAUAUGCUUCCCAUGGCUUGCUUCCCUAGAAACUGCAUGCCUAGAGAGCUCUAGGUGUUGUUAGUAGGGUGGAACAUUACACUACAAGAAGCUCAAGACUCAAGAGGCCAUAAAUCUGGGGAAAGGAGACCACGGAUGUCAGUGCUUGGGCAUUUCUGGGGUGAGACCUGGCGUAGUUUCCAAGAUCUGAGCAGGGUGGAUGUCCAGUGUGGCCCAAGGACAGGGAAGGAUGGCUCUUGGGACCUGGAUCUGUUCUUGCCUGGGAGAGUUUUCCCUAGGACCUAUUUCAAAGGCACACAGUCUUGAGGAGAACUCUCUGCCAGAAGCCCCCACACUCCCCUCCAGUAGCCCAAGUAGGACCUUCUUUCUUGUCCUUUAGAGCUGGCAAAUAGAACAGGCUGUGGGAUAGAAAUGGGCUUAGUUAAGACUCCGGGAUAAAAGCCAGGGAGGAGGAGGCUGUAUGAAGGGAGGGCAGAGAGGUAGGAGAAGCCUGGAGCUUCAAAGGCUGGGGGAGAAAUGGGCUUAGUUAAGACUCCGGGAUAAAAGCCAGGGAGGAGGAGGCUGUAUGAAGGGAGGGCAGAGAGGUAGGAGAAGCCUGGAGCUUCAGGAGGGGACAGAGGAAGAAGCCAGCCUUGUAAGAACAGAGGGCAACAAUCUACUACUCUGAUCUAGCUCCCUUCCUCUGCUGGCUCCGGGUCCCUCAGGCUUCGCUGGGCUUCUCGCCAGCUUCCAGUAGUAGGGUUUAGGCCAGGAAUGGAUGUUUACCUUUUACCUUCUUUAGGGACCUCUGAGCUCAGGCCCCCAAGGGCUCAAGUCCCACAGCCCCUGAGCCCUACAGCUUUUCAUAGUACCCUAGGCGCAAGACCUCGUCAGGGUUCUGAAAGCAUUACGUCCGGGAAGAGAGACGGAUGUGCGGAGACAUGGCAGAGCGAGAAGGAGGAGGAAGUUCUGAGAGUGGCAGACAGAGCACGGCGCGAGCAGACAAGCGACGCGGCGGGAAGAGCGGACGGCAAAGAGGAGACCCUGCGCGGCACACACGUCCGUGAGGCUGGGAUGGACAAACAGUCACCCUGUCUACCACCUCUUAGGAUGGGAAAACAGGAGGAGCCAGCCCCGAGGGUCCUUCCCAUAAGCCAGUGUGCACGAGUUGGCACGGGCAGAUGGUGGGCCACAUAUCUGUGCACAGAGCUAUCGAAGACGACGUCAGCGGUAGGAAAAGAAGUGGUCCCAGCUGAGCAUCAGUGGUCAAAAGCUACCUCUCCCUACAUCAUCACAUUCUGGUGCGUGUGCACGAUUAUUAUACCCCAGACUCCACUCGGGUACUGCGUUAGUCCCCAUCUGACUCCAUAAACAAACACAGAAUACUGAAAAUGAUCUUUCCAAAUACAAAUCUGAUCACAUCAUAUCUCCACUGGAAACCUGAAGUAGUGUCUCACUGAUAUUAUUUUAUUUUACUUUCUUAUUUUUGGGUUUUUUUUUGAGACAGGAUCUCACUAUGUAGUUCCGGCUGACCUUGAACUCACCAUGUAGCCCAGGCUGUCCCUGAACUUGUGGCAAUCCUCCAGCCUCAGUCUCCCUGAGUGCCGGGAUUACAGGCGUGCACCACCAGGCCUGACCUCACUGUUCUGGAAUAAAGCCCCAAUUCUUGACAUGAUUCACCAGGUCCUGCAUGGUCUGACUCCUGCUGACUGCUCCAACCUCAUCUAUCUGCAUUUUUUCACCUUCCUCGCUUACUAUUUUCUGGCUACAUUUUUUGUUUUUCUUUUUUUCUACUUAAUGAACACAUAUACUCCUCUUUUCUGCCUCUGGCCCUGAUUAACAUAUUUCCCAGAAAAUAAGAUUGCAUCUUGUAUUUGCUCCAAAAGACUUAAUAGGGCUUAUUUUCAGGGAUGUCUUAUUUUUUUCAUGCAAAACAAUCUGCAUUUAUUCAGGCACAACAGUCUACAUUAAUUCAUGUGCGGACAUCUACAUUUAUUCAAAUACAUAUCGUCUUCUUCUGGGACAUCCUCAUAACUCUCCAAACCCUAGAUUCCAGCUUGGAUUUCUUCUUUUUUUUUUCAGCCUGGAUUUCUUUUGACUCCAUUUGCUGUCCUGCACAUCUCCACCCUCCGCGCCUGCAGAGCCCUGGCCCCUGCAGAGCCCCGUGGCUGGGUUUCUGUUCAAGGCCCGCAAGACGGGAGGGGACCCCUCUUCCGGAAAAUGGACAGCACCUUGAGGGCCCAGGAAGUUUGGGGAUAUCUGUGUGGCCAUACAGGGGAGUGGAUGGGACCGGAAGGGCUUGGUAACAAUGGAGUAGUGCAGCCGAGUCCUUAGUAGCAUCCCCUAGUCCCUUCCACACCCUACACUCCUGCCCUAGACACUCAGAGGAAGAGGUGGGUGUGGAAGAUUCAUAUUAGAUACAACCACGUCUGUUUGUUACUAUGAGCACACAUUAUUUGUGUGCUGUUUCUGCACUCUGAUUGGACAUAUGUCUGUUUACAUAGGUAUUUACCUCUCAUCCAAAGUCAGCUGCUUGAAUAUUUGCAAAUGUAGUACUUAAUUAUAAUUUGUAUUACCAUUGAAGUAUUAACAUCAAUAAUUUUUAUAUUGAAUUACAUAUUAGUAUUAUUAUUUUCUAAUUUAAUGUGUCCAUCGUGUGUUGCAACAGACAUACUAAAUGCAUUCAUCUGACUGACGAUCUUAACUGGGGCUUAUUUUUGAGAUAGGGCUGAUAUUACAAGCAUCCUAAGAAGUCAUUUGAGGGCUUAUUUUCCAGUUUGGUCUUAUUUUCAGGGAAAUAAGUUUUUAUUGUUCCUGCAUCCUGGAGAGCCCUGCCUUGUGCACGGUCACUUUUUAUUCAUCUGGCCUGUCCCAGUUUAUCGUGACUUCCUUAGGCAACCUGUCCCUCAAAUGCCCCACCCCGUGCCCCAAUUCCCCGUAUUAGAAGAUGAAGUCUUCAUGAAAUAAAAUCUCAUUGCACCCUGUCCUUCUCUUUCAGUUAAAAGGGUUUGUUUGUGCCUGUCUUUCCAGUUCCAGGGGAAGGUGUGGUGGGAUGACUGUUUGAGGCCAGGCGUUUGAGGCCAGCCUGACAGUCUGUCUGCUCCCCUUUCUUCUGUCACUUUUGUUCCUCUAGGCAGUUGUUUCUAUCCACUUUCCUUUCCUUUUCCUUUUCCCUCACUCCCUGCUUGGACCUCUUUCAGUUCUCCAUGGUCCUUUGCUCAUCUCUUCUGUCUGCCCACAUCCUUCUGUCUCUUUCAGUGUGAAUCCCUGUGGAGUCCCUGACUUGUUCCACCCUUCAUCUCAGAAGUACACAUAACUGCCUCCUUAGCCAGUCUCCUCGUCUCUCUGUUCUGUCUUUCUUGGUGUUCACUCUGGCUUCAUCUUUUCAUUCCUGUUUCUCUGUUUUCAGAUUUCCUCCAAUCUUUCAGUCUCAGUGUCUAUUUUUCAGCCUCCAAGAACCCUCACAACCGCAACCCUAGGGAUGGAGUUUGCCUCCUGGGUCCCCACUGGCUGGCAUAGCCUCUUCUCUUGUGCCCUUGGUCUUCUCCUCUCUCCUCUGAAGCCAGCCCUCAUUCCCUGGCUCCUUUCCCUGGUUUGUGGUGCCUGUUCUGAAUUCUAAACAGCUCAACUGUCCUGAGCUUGUUUAGUCUGACUCUCUUAGCCCCUUAGCAGCUUAGCCCUUCCACCUCUCCCUGAGCCCUCUAGUAAACAAGAGGCUCAGGGUAGAUCUGAC
ensembl:lincRNA